UACGUAGGGGGCAAGCGUUGUCCGGAAUCAUUGGGCGUAAAGAGCGUGUAGGCGGCUUGGUAAGUCCGCUGUGAAAGUCCAGGGCUCAACCCUGGAAAGCCGGUGGAAACUGUCAAGCUUGAGUCCGGAAGAGGCGAGUGGAAUUCCUGGUGUAGCGGUGAAAUGCGUAGAUAUCAGGAGGAACACCUGUGGCGAAAGCGGCUCACUGGACCACAACUGACGCUGAGGCGCGAAAGCUAGGGGAGCAAACAGG
rnacentral:rRNA from 1 species